CCUGGGAUCUGCCGUACUUCCCAGAAUGCUUCUCUUCACCAGCCUGGGACCCAACCCUCCUAUCCUGGCCUCAGACCAAGGGCCUCCCUGGUGAGGGGCAGGGUCUUCAGUGGAUGCAUCCAAAGCCUUAGAUGAUAGAGGGGAGAGCCCCAGCUUUGCACUCCUUUCUGCUGAGCUUUGAGUGCUUAUUACUUACUGACUGUGGAGUCUACUUGCAUCGGUGAGGUGCUGGGUGUCCUGGAGGAUUCUGGGAAUGCCAGCGAGGACAUGGUCUCACCAAGUCACCCAGGCUGGCUCCACCUUGCCACCCUCCUGCCUCAGCCUCCCAGAGUGCUGGGACUGCAGGACGCACUGCCACACCCGGUUCCAAUUCAGACUCCUGAGCCCAGGUGUUCCCUUGGCCUCACAGAGCCAGUGAUGUGGACGCUGGACCCUCACCUGUGACCCUGAGCUCCAGGGCAUCGCUGGGCGCCGACCACAGGGCUGCUGUCUGCCGGGCACUGAGGAUGGACCAGCCCUCGAGCUGAGCAGGCACACCCUUCCCCGAGCUGGCCUUCCAGCCCUGAAAACAUGCUGAGGUCCAACAACGAUCCCUCCCUACUCCUCCCCAGCACACACUUUGGACAGUCCCCACAGCUCCACUCCGCCUCCAACAGCCACCUGACCUGUUCGAAGUAAAUGAGACGGGCGGGCAGUUUAGAUCCGUGGCACUGCACCUGCCUCGCAAGCAGGAGGUCCUGAGUUCAAUCCCCGGUACCAAAACAAAGGUAAGUGAGAUCAAAAUAUCUUUCUCUUUGGAAUGUUUGACUUUAAAAGUGACGGAUGAGCAUGUAUACUGCGUUCUGUUCCCCUCCCUUCUCCGUCCCUUUGUCCUGCUCCUGCAUUUUGGCGGUGCAGGGAUGGAACCCAGGGCCUCACCGUGUCACCCCGAGCUCCACAUCCAGCCGUGAAUGCUGUUGCGAGAAGUCACACGGCAGCACAGAAGCCUGAGCUGGGGUGCUGUACCUGCGGCCCUUCGUCUGCUGCCAGCCCACUGCCCCUCACUUCCCCAGUGCCCAGCAGCCUGACCCGGCUCUGCGGCUGACAUCACGGAGCCCGGGGUUGUCCCACACGACCCUCCCCGGACAAUGCGAGAGGGUGUUGGAAACCCAGUCGCCUGUCGCUUGGCGGUGGGAACCCCCUGAGAAGCGCAUCGCUAUGCAACCUCAGCCCUGCAUGAGCACCAUCCUGCGCACCAGGCCGAGUACCAACGCAGUGGGACACCGAGGGUGGGGUGCGUGAGGCUACGGCCGACCAACCACUCAGUCAGCUUUUCUUCAAAGGUGUCCAUGCUCCUCCGGGAUCGCCUCAGUCUAACCAGCUGUGCCUCUGAGGAUCUUGUUUCAAACGAAGGUCUCCUUCUGGGGCAGUGCGGAUUUGGACGUCCACACACAAGUCGGGGCCUCUCAGCCAGCCCGUCUCAGAAAGAGGGCGUGUGGUCUAAAGUCAUCACCUCAGCGCGAGGGUGUGGAGUACGGUAACCUCAUCGCCGUAACUUGGGCUUCUCUAAUCCCUAAGUGUGGAGCUUCUCCUUGCUCGUCUGAGCCGGGGUCUCCCCUGCUGUAGCCUGCGAGGGUCCUUCUGGCUUAGAGGGCACCUGUGUGAUGGGGCAGCUGGCAGGCGCGGGGCAGAACCGAUCCAGGACCGGAGCCACCCCCCAGGCGAGGUCGCGGUGUCCCAGCCCGCUGGCCGCCCCCUUCCCUCCUACUCCUUCCGCCCGCCUCCAGACCGCAGCCCUGCGUCUCCCUGCACCCAACACGUCCGCCUUCUCAGCCUCUUUCUGUUGAAACUCAGUCAGAACCUCGUGCUCAGUACCAGCACUCGUUCCUCUCCUCCUGUUCACGUUUCCUUUUCCACAGUGUUCUGUUAACCUUUACUGUGUAAUCGAACUGCGGAAAUAGUUAGACCUGGGGGGAAGCCACGAGUCCCCCAUCAAACACCUUCUGUACACUCCUAUCCCUGAGAAGCCCCCUUGUCCACGUGGCUCAGCCCCUGGGGCCGCCCCGGGCAGCGGUGGACAGAGAGCUGCUCUGUGAUGUGGCUGCCUCUCUCUCCCGCCAGCCUGAAGGCCUCCGUUCUCGGCAGAGCCCGGGACACCGGCCCGCAGAGCCGUUAGGAACUUCCUCCCUGCGCGAGCAGACCCUCACUUCUCUUUUUUAUUUUUAUAACGUUUACUGCACGUAUCUGUCCGUUAGCAGCACUGGGAACAUAACACCAAGCCACGUCUCUGGCCCUUCUGUGUUUUAAUUGCCUUGCGAAGUUGCCGAAGUGUCCAGAUGGGGCUCAAACUUGUAAACCGCCUGCCUCCGCAUCCACAGUGCUGGGACUGCAGGGCCGCACUUGUUGCCUGGCGUGUUCUAGGUAUGUGGCAUCUACAGUGCAAUGUUUGAGUGGUUACCCUAGUGAUGUGGGUCCUACCCAUCACCUCAUGUGGUCACCUAUUUUCACGUGUGUGGCAAAUGCAGGUAAAAUUUAUUCCCUCAGCAAAAGCCCUAGCUACAAUGAAAUCCUCGGAGUCGGAAUGCUGCACACCAGCCCGGGGGCCCUUCGUCCCACACAGCUGCUGUCUGGCUCCUCUGAACACCCCAGGUCCUCCCCGGCACUGCUCCUGGAAACCGCUUUUCUUGUCUAUUUCGGCGCACCUGGCCUUCUGCCGGUUCCGCGCAUAUGCGACAUGGGGAGAUGGCGGCAGUUCGCUUCCUUCAGAGGCAGAACUACCGCCUGUGUACCCGGUAUCUUCAGCUCCACUUUCAAGGAGCCAGUAAGAACUCCAACGUCUCGACCGUGGAAAAACUAACUCACCGUAUGUCACAGUGGACAAAAGACCUCAGCUUUAUUUCUUUCUUCAAACAAGUUCUAAAAAUGCCCCGCGGAUGUAUGGAAAGGUGCCCGACAUCACUAACCGACGGGCGGACACAAAGGAGAACCACUCGGAGCUGUCACCGCACGCCCAUCCGCUGGCUGCCACCAGAAAGAGGAGAGAGAGCAGGGCUGGCGAGGGCGUGGAGACGGAGCCCUUCCCCACCGCAGCGUGCACAGUGCGGCCGUGACGGGGAGCAGGCGAAGCACCGCACGCCCCAGGCUUCUUCUCGACCACGCCAAACAGGACGAGCCUCUCCCUGGUGCACACACUGUGCCCCAUCGUUUCAGUCACGGUACCCAGCCACGGGAACUCGGUCGCUCUCCCCGGCUUCUGCCUCAGCCUGGGCUUCUCCUCGGCCGCGCCGGCCGCCUGCCCGCAGCAAAGCCGAGUCCGUCCAGAACAGCACCCGUCUUGCUCCUCUCCGUCCCCCUGGCGGAUCCAGGGAGAGGCGGCUUCUGCAGCCAGUGGGCGGGCACAGGAG